rnacentral:rRNA from 1 species
GACGAACGCUGGCGGCGUGCCUAAUACAUGCAAGUCGAACGCAGUGGGGACGGGUGCGGAACACGUGGGUAACCUCCCAUCAGAGGGGGGAAAACGUGGAAACAGGUGCUAAACCCAUACGGAUGGAGGGACCCGAUGUGCAUUAGGUAGUUGGUGAGGUAACGGCUCACCAAGGCCACGAUGCCUAGCCGGCCUGAGAGGGUGAUCGGCCACACUGGGACUGAGACACGGCCCAGACUCCUACGGGAGGCAGCAGUGGGGAAUAUUGGGCAAUGGGCGAAAGCCUGACCGAGCAACGCCGCGUGAGUGAAGAAGGUUUUCGGAUCGUAAAGCUCUUUUGUUAGAGAAGCGGUAUCUAACCAGAAAGCCACGGCUAACUACGUGCCAGCAGCCGCGGUAAUAC